rnacentral:tRNA from 1 species
GGGGUUGUGGCUCAUUGGUAGAGUACAUGCCUAGCAUGUGUGAAGUUCUGGGUUCAAUCCUCAGCACCACA